rnacentral:rRNA from 1 species
GUGUAUGGCCAUACCACCCUGAACAUCUGAUCUGAGAAGCUAAGCAGAGUUGGGCCUGGUUACUACUUUGAUGUGAGAAUUGAAUGAUUAAAUAGUAUAUUCU